AGGUCGUGAUGUGGACACUUCACAAUAAGUCCUUGUAUCUCCCCCAUGCCUCAUAUAAUGAUUCACCCUCAAAUUAGGCGAUGGUAGUGAUAUCAUUCCUUAAUUU